rnacentral:tRNA from 1 species
GUUUUUGUAGUUGAAUUACAACGGUGGUUUUUCGAAUCACAGGUUUCGGUUAGUAGCUAGGUCCGGACAGAAAUA